AAAUUUCAUCAAAAUAAUAUUUUCGGCCAUCUUUGCGGAAUGAUAAAAUAAUUGGAUAUUUUUCUAUUUGUGUGGAAAAGAUUUAUAUUUUUAAAAGAUGUAUUGCUAAAUAUUAACAAGUAUUUAUACAUAAUAACUUGUGUCUUGUCCGAACGAUGUCCCUACAAAACCAAAGACAAAUCCUUCGUUCGCAAGUAAGUGAACCAACCCGGAUGGCCAAAUACCGUUGGACAGUGCCCAUGGCGUUGAGUGUAAAAACAGGGUGCCGUAUUGGAAGCUUCCGCCGGUCGGAUUUUACCAAGGUGUUUACCUAGCCGAAAGAGGAACUUCUGCUUCCAUCAUCCGUAAUCCAAGGAUGGUCACAAUUCUUGCACCAGUUCAAGCAAUACGUGUUCCAUUUGCCAAUGUUGUUCCGAGCAUCAGUGCGUGGAACAACUUCAACAACAACGUCAAUUGAACAGUGAAUACUAGGAUUCCCAGAACAUUCUGAACGUUUGUUUUUACUGAAAAUUCAGUUCCUGCACCAAUUAUCCAUCACUUUUAGAGAAGCAGCAGAAGGAACCCCCGAUGUCGCAUCCGCUCUAGCAGCUAAAUUUCCCGGACAACGUAGCCCACUCCCGUUAGGCAUCCUCCAGAAACAUCCGAGCCGGAAAACUACAUACCAAACUACACGAAAAGAAAAAUCCUUAUUGAAUGUAUAAGAAAAUGUUAUACAUUUUUGCCAUUUCGUUUUUCUAAUAAACCAUAUAGCUGAAUGUAAUGUAUAGCAAAAGAUACAAGAUAUGAGAUGUAUAAGUUUAACCUAAUACAAUCAAUCAGUAACGCUCAUGAUUGCUAUAACAGUUAUUAAUGCUAUGUAUGUGGAACAAUUAAUAAAACCUACUACCAUAUAUUUUGAAUUUCCUACUGUUUUUUCUUCAAGUAGACAUGAUUAAAAACAAGUUUUAUCAUAAAUACAUAUCUAGUUUAUUAACUAAUUUUAAUUUUUAAUAACUUUGCGUGUUGAAAGAUUGCAAUUUUCUAGGUGACCGGGACAUUUUCCUUGUUCAGCGGUCAGUCCUCCUAUGUGGGGUGGCGCAUUUGUUACUUCAAGCCGGUGUCGUAUCGCUUGAGAAGUUUGCCUUUGCAUCCGUUUUGCGUGCCAACAUCACCUCGGAACUGCAACUGAAAAUGAGAAAUUCAUCGUUAUUAUUUUGUUUCAUCAAAUAUCACAGAAAAUCUUACCCCCCUAAUCCGUCCUCAUCCUCCAUCCUUCGAAUCUCCCGUGCCGUAAAUUGCACUGGUUUGCGGUUAUCUCUGUCCUUCCUCUUCGACUUUGUUAUCUUCCGGGUCAUUCCUUCCUCUUCAAAGUCGCGGAGCACAUCGUGUUUCUGGCGACUAGCGAUCCUGAGCGGUUUCGGAAUUUCGAUGGCGAUUUUCCCGAGCUGCCGCUGCGGCUUCUGCUGCGUCUAGUUGAAUUAAAGGAACUUCUCGGAUGGCGGCAUCUCCUCGAACAAGACCUGGACCGCGAGUCGUGGCCUGCAAAGGACUUUCGGCAGCUGCCACUAUACGAUGCUACAAUAUGAGAGACGAACUUUGGUUUUUCUAAAGUAAAAUAAUCUUUAAAAUACUCACUCUUUUUGUUUGCUGUUCAGGCGAUUCCAUGGGCGAUUUUCGGCGGGAAAUAUUCAAUCUGAAAACUUAUUCAAAGUAUAAGUUAAACCUUAUACUUUUUGUUCAUUAUCCAAAACAUAUGAAAAGUAUAAGUUUGACUUAUAGCAAUAUUGUGGUAUCAUAAUAACUGAUAUUAGGUGGGUUUAUGACUGUUAUUAGGUUCAGUGUUUUAAAUUGUAAAAGGUAAUUGUAAUGAAUGAAAUAAUUAAAAUAUUUUUCGUGUACUCUGCGAGCGGGUGAUGGUGACCAAGAAAACUUCCCCAGCUCCGCCCCAAUGGUGAGCCCAACGGCCCCAACAUACUCCGGUAUGUUAUUAUUAAGGUGUUUAUUAUAUUUGUAAUAAGUUGUAUUUGAUUGAAAAAAAUAAUAAAUAUAAUGUUUUUUAUUUAUCUACUGUUUUUUUUUAACGUAAACAAAAAUGGAUGACUGCUGAACUACAUGCAUAGUAAUUAAAACCAUUUUCGAAAGUCAAUCUUACCAUGCCGCUUGUGACACACAUGGUAAAAUUGACUAUGGAAUCAUUUUUGAAAAUACCAUAAAAUGUAAACAAAAAGUGACAUGGUAAAUUAUACCCUGCUCAUGGUAGUUUCAAAAAUAAAUUAUGGUCUACCAAAAUCAAGUAGUAAAAGUGUCUUAAUUUCACCCUCGGAUUGGUCACCGUUACCAUGUCUCUUUUUUCAGUGUAGCAUCAAGACAUUGGUCGGACUGAUUUUCCUGAUAGCUUCAAGAAGUAGAACCCAUAAAUUGAUGUGGUCGAAAUUUCUUCCACCCCUUAACAACUCAUUCAGUGUAAGAAUAGGUUUGAACCUUUUAGUAAACUAUAUAAAGUAAUUCUAGGGAUAUCCACAGCUCCUAACCCCCUAUUCAUGUGAAAACUAGUGCAUUGAGAUGAAAAAAGUUGGAUAUAGUACAAUUUUCGAGAGCUUCAAAUAUAAGAAAAGUCGAGUCGAUUGAACAGAACAGGAAGGUAUUUAACUCGUAUUUUUUUUUACAUAACAUGUACAUACCUAUAUAAAACUAAACUUAACUAAACUGUAUAUAUAUCUAUCUAUCUAUCUAUCUAUCUAUCUAUCUAUCUAUCUAUCUAUCUAUCUAUCUAUCUAUCUAUCUAUCUAUCUAUAUAUAUAUACAGUAGGGUAGUUCAGACUAUAAACAUGAAUCCCAAAAUAGUUGUCACAAUGGCCAACUUUGGCACCUACUCACGAUUUCGAAAGCACAAAUCACUUCAUAAAACAAAACCAAUGCACCUGAGCUUCUUAUUUUAACCCUCUAAUACCCAACCCCGCCUUUAGACGGGGUAUAGUUUGAGCAUUUUUCUAAUUUUUGUUUCGUGCAAAAUCAAAAUUUUUAUAUUUUUGGCUGAUUCUUAGGACUGUUUUGUAUAUCUCAAAAUGGUUUUUGGUGUAUUUUAAAGCGUAUUCACAUUUUUUUUAUAAAUCAUUGAAAAAUUGAUGUUUUAAUCACCUUCUAGAAGUCAUUGUUUAUUUUGUAUUAAACCGCUACAAUUAGCAUAUUUAAGAUUUUUCCCAAAUCAUUCUAUCCUAGUUUUAUAGUUUAAGGGAAUCGAAUACACUCUUAAAUUAUUUUUCUUAAAAUUACACGGAAAAUUAAAUUUUCUAUGAUAUAAAAAUGCAGUGGCAUACGUGGGACCGCGCAUAACUUGCGAACGGAAGGUCCGAUUUUGGUCGUCUUAGUUUUGUUCUGUUAGUUUUCACCCAAGGAAGGUUUAUGAGGCAUAACACAUGAAAAAUUGAGAGUUUUUGAAAAUUGAACUUUCAUACAUUUUGACUGGGGACUUGGUCUUGGCUAGAAACUUGAAACGUCAAAAAACGCAGUAGGCAAGACAUAGUUUGCCGGGUACAGCUAGUUUUCUAUGAAAAAAAUUUAAAAUAAAAAUAUUUUAACAAUAAUCAUAAAAUCUCAAAAUGUUUUCAUCUAAAAAAAUCCGUACCCCAAAUAGGCUUCCAGGAAAAAUAUAAAAAUCUAAGAAUGUUCAAAAAUAAAAAUUAGAAAAAUCAAAAACUGAAAUUCACGAAAUCGAUAAAUAAACAGAAUCAUCUUCCAAAACAUGUUUAAAUCGAUUUUAGAUGACGAAAAAUGAUAUUUAGAUCAAAAUCAAAAAUUUGGGUAUUAGAGGGUUAAGCCAUAGACAAACAGACGUAACACCUUGAACGAUUUACAUGGAAAUCCAUCGCCCAGUUCACACUACCAUCACCUGGUGGAAAAGUUGCACGAAUCACUGUGUUGUGCAAUAUUGUCAACAGAAGGCACUAGUGUGAAACGUCAAACACAUAGAAAAACGAUACACGCGCCUCUGGUUGUGAAAGCCACAACUAUGAAAAUUUAAAAUGAUCGUUAAAAGCGUGGUCGAUGGAAUUUUCGCAAGUGUUAAGUCUGUUUGUCUGUGGUUAAGCUUAUUACAAGUGAGCAAAACAGAAUAAUAAAAUGCAUGAUUGUUUGAAGCUUGCUUCUUGAGAUUUGUGCUGAAGUUCUGAUGCAUUGUUGAAGCGGGAUUUCAAGACGUUUGUGCUUAAUGGUGGCCCAAAAGCAAAAUAGGUUUAUAUGGGAAUUACUAUGAAGAAUUUUCGAUAAACGUUCUGCGCGCUUUAAUGCACCUCAUGGAUGAACUCAUAGGGUCAAAGCCGAAUUGAAUUCUUCAGAUCUCAAUGAUGAAUGUUGUCGAAGAUCGGAACUUAUUUCGUCAAUCGGGUAAAAAGUUAUUAACCCUUCAGCGCGCGCGCUGUUGCAAAAAGUACAACACUACUAAAAAACCUCGCUUUUCGUAUACAGCGCGAGCGCGGUGCAGUUUUGGUUACUUGAAGGCGCGCGUCCUGGAAGGUUAAACAAAUUCUUACUCACAUGCGCAUCUUUAUACACGAUGUCCUGCAAGAUGUGCAAGAUGAUAACACGCAUACUAUGAUUGCGUGUCAAGCGUGUCGGUCGAGCUGCGGUCUUCUGUUCAAGCAUGCAUGGAUGAUUAUUGAUUAAUAACUUCUGUCUCGUGAGUCGAAACGAGUUGCGGUCUUCGGCAACAUUCAUCAUUGAGGUCAGAGAAUUCAAUUUGACUUCGACCCUAUGACUUCAUCCACGUGUUUAUGCUAUACAGAGCGGAGAACCUUUUUUUAAAUUCUCCAUAGUAAUUCCCAUAUACAGUCAGGUUUUUUUUACGCGGGGCAUACGUACCGCGUAAAAAAAACACAGUUCAAAAUUCAAAAAACCGCGUAAAAAAAGUCUCACCAUUUCUCGACGAAUCAUGCAAAAAUAAGACGAUGAACUUUUUUUUUGUAUGGAGUUUGCAUUUAUGCGGCCGCGUAAAUGAAAACCGCGUAAAAAAGACCUGACUGUAAACCUAUUUUGCCGAAAAUAUGAGAGGGCUCUAGUUUUGCAUCAAGGAUUGCAAUGAACAUAUGGGAGCUUUGAAUUUUUGACAUGUUAAAAGUCUGAACUGCCCUAAUAUACAUUCAUUGCAUAUUGUGGAUUUACCGGCUACUUGUAUUCUACCGGUUACUUAAGUAGCCGUUACAAAGUAGCCGUUUUCAUAUAAAAAUCAACUUGAUUGUCAAAAAAUGAAUGUCGCUGAGUAAAUAGCUAGUGGCAACGAGGAAUAGCGCAUUCAAUAAAAAUGUUUAAAAUCAUUUUUAAGUUACUCCUUUUAUAAGAGCAUCGCCACGGGCGUCCCUAUCUAGGUUCCUAUCCCUAUUUCCGGGCCCUGAAUAGGGUUAGACACCGGUGGUAUCUAAACAGGAACGAAAAAUAAGGAGGCGACAUGGGAUCAGCGAUGGGUUUCCACAUUUGGGGACCCACUCAAAUCUUGCACUGAGUUGCUAUUCCGAUGGUUUGUGUGACGUCACAUUCUUUAUUUACAUUUUGCGGUGAAGUGAGCUGAGCAGUAUUGUGGAAAUUAACAGCAGUGGAUAAAUAAAGCAAGAGGUGAAUAUUGAUGUAGGGUAACGAACCACUUGGGCAGCGGCCGGUAUUUUGGGCACUCUUCGCUAUAACUCAGUCAAUUCCAAACCAAUUGACUUGAAAUUUUGUACACGGCUAGAUAAUAUACGUAUCUCAUCGCGUUCCAAAAAUUGUGUCAAUUGCUUCAGAAUUGGCUGAGUUAUAGCAGAAAAGUGCCCAAAAUAGGACCCCUGCCGAGAUUUGUCCACUUCCCCUGCCGAGAUUUGUUCCACUUCCCUACUUUGUCUUACGUGACCAGAUGUUUUCCAGAACCCUAUCACAAACAAACAGACGCAGUACUAAUAAUUCUCAAGUAUACCGAUUCACGUUUAUUCAAAAAUUUUAUAGUUGGCUAACUGCCCAUCUGUAGCAUUCGCAGCGUUUUUGUUCAAGUUGUACAUUCGCUUACUAUUGUCACCUAGUUUAUUGUGGAUUUACCGGCUACUUGUAUUCUACCGAUUACUUAAGUAGCCGUUUUCAUAUAAAAAUCAACUUGAUUGUCAAAAAAUGAAUGUCGCUGCCACUAGCUAGUGGCAACGACGAAUAUCGCAUACAAUAAAAAUGUUUAAAACCAUUUUUAAGUUACUCUUUUUAUAAAACGGCUACUUUGGAGGCCAUACUGAAGCGCCCGGUAGAAUACAAGUAGCCGGUAUAUCCACAAUAUGAUUGGCCACUCUAUUGGCAAAAAUCAGUCCUUUUAGAUUGGGUGAAUAUGUUUCCACGACUAUGACUUUGAAUAGCAAACGUAUCACUUGAAAGAAAUUGCUAUUAAAAUCAUCGUCAUGUAAACAUAAUCCCCAAUGCCAAACACGCUAUUUCACAAAACGCUCAGUAAGUGACGGUAGUGAGCGAACGUCAAGCAGGAGCAAAAAUUAUGUGAGCGCCGUCUGUGAACAAUUUGCAAACUACAGAAUAUUUGGUUUAAAUUUUCUUUAAAACAUAAAACGAUAAGAGAUGACUAGAGGGAGACCGGAAACGUCUGCUUGUCUUUUUUUUCCUUCUAAACCAUAGGGGGAUAAUCUGCUCAACAGACACCCUAACAGAAGGUUAGGGUAGUGUAGUUCUGAGGCCGUCUUCUACAACAAAAGUAAAAGCCAGGACUACUCUCUCCUCGUACCCACUAAACCAUUCCUAUGGUCGCCAAACCCUACGUCUCUCCGGAACCACCAAGAAGGUAUUGCUUCAGAGAGGGGCUAUUGAUUUUGUUUAUUUGACUUCAUGAUUAAAUCCCACGAGUAGCACGGGAAAGAACGUCCACCACGCCAGAGCCCUGCAUUAACGCGGUAAGGGACAGCUUACGUGGGGGGUGCCCAGGUACCCCACAGGCUCCGUUAAAGAUCGAGCAUCUUUUUCACCCCCCCUUCCUCCGAUCUAGCCCUCGAUCACUCAUUCCUCAGCACGGGUCGCUUGACACCUUGAAUUGGGCUUAGUAGUCCUAUUCUUAGUCGUCGACUACGCAGCUGACUCGUAAGCGAGGGGGGGGGGGGGGUGGUGCGUCAGGCCCCAGGACUUUUGUCCCUGCUGCCCGUCUGCUUGUCUAUGACGAAAUGUUAUAUGUGUUACGUGUGCUUGUCUGUGACGCUUUAUGCCAUUUUAUGCAGGAUUCGUCAAAAGUUUGGAUAUAUUUAAUGUUUUAGUUUGUACUACGUCUGAUAAAAAAUAAGGACCACUUUUUGCAACGCACGGUGGAAAAUCAAUAUGUUUUUGAAGUCUCUAAACCCAAAAUAGAAACCACUGGUGGGAAGGUGAGGUGCUAUCCUAAAAUAGCACCCGAAAAGGAGUGGUAUAAUAGAGAUAGCGAUGAGGACUGCCGUGGCGAUGCUCUAAAAUGGCUACUUUGGAGGCCAUACUGAAGAGACCGGUAGAAUAUAAGUAGCCGGUAAAUCCACAAUAGAAAAACGAUAUAUAGUGCAAUUCCGAUUAUCGUGAAACUUGGUGGGUUUGUAGUUGUUCGAAAAUAAUUAGAACCGUAUUUUUUUUAUUUCGUCAUUAGGGUGAACAAUUUUCAGGUGGUCCUAAAAAUCAAGGUUUUAAAAAAUCAAAAAUAUUCAAAAAAACAUAACUUUUGAAUUAGUUAAUCGAUUUCAAACUUAUUUUUUAUUUUGUUUGAAAGCUAUUAAAUUCUAGUUUUUAGGAAAAAAUAAGCUGAAUGGGCCAAAUUGUGUUUUGUGCAAAAAAUGCAAAUAUAUUAGUUUUUCACGUUUUCAUGGUCUCGGAACCAAAGAGAUACCCUGGUUUUAUAUUUUCAUUUGAAAGUUCAGGAAACUUGGCGUAAAAUAUCAAAAAAAUCAGAGAUGUAUGUUUUUUAGUUUUUGAGAUGAUUUUUUUGAAUAUCGAGAGUCAUGUAUUUUAAAACUAACUGCUCUAAAAUUGCCCGAUAUUGUAAAUAUGAAUUAAACCAUGCCUUGUAUUGCUUUUUUGAGUGCUUCCUGGUCUUUUGGGUAUCCAUGUGUAUAAGGAUUCAUUAGAUAAUCAAAUUAAAAAAAAGUUUUUGUAUGGGAAAAUUUGGCCUUUUAUUUUCAAAAACCAUACCUCAAAAACUAAAAAAACAUACAUUUUUGAUUUUGUGAUAUGUUACGCCAAAUUUCCUGAACUUUCUGGAAAAAAACAGACUACCUCUUUGCUCCCAAGACCAAGAAGACGUGAAAAAAUAAUAUAUUUGCAUUUUUUUUUUACACAAAAACACAAUUUGGCCCAUUUUGCGUAUUUUUCCAGAAAACUAGAAUUCAAUAGCUUUCACAAACAAACAAAAAAGUAGUUUGAAAUCGGUUGACUGAUUCAAAAGUUAUGAUGUUUUGAAAAUUUUCAGUUUUUAAAAUGAUUUUGAGACCAUCUUAUCAAAAAAUUGGUCUCCCUAAUGACGAAAUAAAAAAAAUACGGAUCUAACUAUUUUCGAAGGACUACAAACCAACCAAGUUUCACGACAAUCGGAGUUGCACUAUAUCGUUUUUCUAUGGAAUGGCUGUAUAUAUAUUAGGUUGUCCCAAAAUUGCACAUGGUCAAAAAGCUUGGGGGCUCACCCUGCAAAUGAUAGCUAAGGGUGUUAGAAACAAACUUUUGUAUGACGGCAACUUUCAGAAAUGACGUUUAGAGGUCGCCCCGGUGAAAUUUUUGAAAAAUGGCCAUUUUUCGUAAUAAAUUUCAUAUAAAUAUUUUAUACCGUACAAAGAUUGGCAAUACCCACUAUUUAUGUUUUUUACAGCUUGAUAUGGAUCCAAACUACCUGGGAAAAAUAAAUAAUGACAUGUUUUGCUGGUAAUUUUUUGAUACUGGUUUUUUGAAUUUACUAAAAUUUGUCAUUUUUUGAUAUACUGUGCAUUUUACCCAUCAUAAAAAGUAUCUGAACAUUAUGCUAAUUUAAAACAAUGUCCAUAAAAAGAUAGCAAAUUUUAUGAGGAAAAACUUUGCCGAAGACAGCAUUGAGUUUUUUUUAUCCGUUUUAGAGUUAGGGUAAUUGAUCCGAUCAUGGAGGAGUUAAGCACUGGGUUCAUGCUCAAACCACAAUUGAAUCGCCCCAAGCAAAUUUUUUACUUGGAUUGAAUUGAAAAUAAUAGAAUCUAUCCUUUAUCUACGGGAAAAUAACGAAAUAUUGCCACUUUGAGGUUGUUAUGAGCAUUUUAUUCGUUUUUAUCUAAAAGAACUUUGUGUUCCUAUUGUUGCGGUAUUUGUUCCUAAUGUUGCGGUAUUUGUUCCUAAUGUUGCGGUAUCCCAUUGAAAUCAUAUGGAAUACCGCAUUAUUAGGAACACUACCGCAACAAUAGGAACACAGCAGCAAACAUAUUAAGGAAAAUAUUUUUUUUAAAUAGAUUUUUGGGCAAAUCUUAAGCAAACAAAUGGUGCAAUCUCAUAAUUUAAGCACAAUACAUCUAUUAAAAAUACCUUUUGGUAACAUUUCAGUCGAAAAAGUGCUCAAUUAGCCAUUACCGCAACAAUAGGUACUACCACAACGAUGGGAACAAUUACCCUAUUUAUGAUUUACUAUUUGGUAAAAUUUUGAUUUUUAGGUUUUAAAAAAAUAAUCCCAAAAGAACGUCCCAAAAACACACACAAAGUAAAAAAUCACGUUACUCAAGAAGUUUUUGUCUUCAUUGUGUUAUGGAAUUAUGGUGGCAUCAUUUAUUGCAUUUUUGUUUCCAUUGACAAAUCCAUUUUCUUUGAUAUAGAAAGGUACCUACUAGCGAGAAACUUUAUCAUUAGGUACCAUUUUGAGAUGCCUCAGUAGGCCAUGGCAUUUUUAACGUUUAUGUACUGACAUUGGUUUAUACGAGCAUAAUACACAAUCAAACGCACGGCACAUUUUCUAUAUCAUUUAGAAGGUGAUACAUUCCGCAAAACAUGCCGUUUUGGUUUUCAGUGAUGUUGUUUAAAUCGUUCAAAGACAUGAAUAAAACGUUCUAGUAGUUCUUUUCAUUUUGAUCAACAUAGAACGAUAAAAAUGACGUUAAUUGUUUUCGUCCAAAACUGCUGUUUACCAAUAAUAGCCUACCUUGUCUUAUUGUAUGCCGUGAAUGUGUUAUGGUAAACAAAUUGUUCUAACCUUGGAUAACAUUACGUUAACUCACUGGUUCAUCUUACACGCUAACCCUCAGUUACCCAGAUUGGUGUCAAAGCGACCCAGAUUGAGCAAAACUGCAGUUACUCUAAUCUGAGUAAAGGCACCUUUACUCUAAUCUGGGUUACCGAUGUUGGUUGCAAAAUCUGGGUAACCGGUACCCAGCUCCUCCUGGACCUUGAUUUUGUUAAUUUAUUUCCAAUUUAGAUUUUUAAUAAAAAGCUCCCAAUUCCCGUGUGCUGUUCACUUACCUGAUGCAGGAAAACAGUUCCCUGGAAGAAUUUAACUGUUUUCCCGUCAUUUAUCCUCAUAUUUUUCGAGGAAACACCCAUAAUUGCCAGCGUUCGCCUGACCGCUGCCAUAUUCUCAAGCCGGAAAGUGACAAAGUGCCGAUUACCCAGAUCUUUACCCAGAUUUAACCUAUCUGGGUUUUCGGGUUACCCGGAUUUUGACAACUGCUAACAACAUGAAAAUCCGGGUAGAAACGACCCAGGCGAUGGGUAGUUUCAGGUUAGCGUGUAUCCCACCCGUUGCCUCGGUGUAUCUUAUUUUCAGUGUUGAUAAAGAUAGUUCAAGUCAGUAAAUGUAAAAAAAAGACAUGCUCUGCUUUUUGUCUUGAAUUUGAACGAAAGUAUCUAAAAAUUGGUAUUGGUAUAAGAUGUUCGUAAUCGCGAUUUGAAUUUUGUAUGGAUCAACGUAUUCGCCUUUAUUCACUUUGCUAAUGUUUCCUGGGCUGUUUCACUGGUCCAGGACUCAAACGACUUCGUGUAGAAAAAUAAUUGAGAGUCGAUAUUCUCAAUUAUUUUUCUACACGAAGGAAAGUAAGAUAAAUGCGAAAAUAUGGCUCAACACUUUGUGGAGAAUAGCUUUAAAAAAUCAAUAGGCAGUACGAAGCUUGUCAAGAGAGCUAGCUUUUUAAGAAAUUUGCGAGUUAAUUUGUAUAUGAAGGGAUUCAAUAACAAAAAAAAACAAUUAAUGAUAUCACCAUAAUUCCAUAAAACAAUCAAGACAAAAACUUGUUGAGCAUACGUAAUUUUUUACUUUUCAUGUGUUUUAAGGAAGGGGCCCAUAUAGCCGAGGCGGUAAACGCACGGGUAUUCAGCAUGACCAUGCUGAGGGUGACGGGUUCGAUUCCCGGUCGGUCCAGGAUCUUUUCGUAAAGGAAAUUUCCUUGACUUCCUUGGGCAUAGAGUAUCUUCGUGCCUGCCAUACGAUAUACGCAUGCAAAAUGGUCAUUGGCAGAGGAAGCUCUCAGUUAAUAACUGUGGAAGUGCUCAUAGAACACUAAGCUGAGAAGCAGGCUUUGUCCCAGUGAGGACGUUACGCCAACAAGAAGAGAAGAGGAAGAGGUGUUUUAAGGAAAUUCUUAUGUGACAUUUUUAGAAAAAUACCCAAAAAUUCAAAUUUCACCAAAUAGUAAAUUGUGAAUAACUCUAAAACGGAUAAAAAAAAACCAAUGCUGUCUUCGGCAAAGUUCUUAAUUAAAAUUUUCUAUCUUUUGAUGGAAAUUGUUUUAAAUUAGCAUUCGAUUCAGAUACUUUUUAUGAUGGGUAAAAUGCGCAGUAUAUCAAAAAAUGACAAAUUUUAGUAAAUUCAAAAAACCAGUAUCAAAAAGUUACCAGCAAAACAUGUCGUUAAUUAUUUUUCCCAAGAAGUUUGGAUCCAUAUCAAGCUGUAAAAAAUAUAAAAAUAGUGGGUAAUGCCAAUUUUUGUACGGAAAAAAUAUUUGGAUGAAAUUUAUUACGUAAAAUGGCCAUUUUUCAAAAAUCUCGACGGGGCGACCUCUAAACGUCAUUUCUUAAAGUUGCCGUCAUACAAAACUUUGUUUCCAACACCCUUAGCUAUCAUUUGCAGGGUGAGCCCCCAAGCUUUUUGACCAUGUGCAAUUUUGGGACAACCUAAUAUAUAUGUAUUAUAUUAUAAUAAUAUAAUAAUUGAAUUCGACCUAAGUGAUGAUCCCCUUAUAUCUGAAUGUUCAUUAUAAAAUUAGUGCCUCUUCGGCUAUCGGAUAGAAAACUGUGCAAUAUAGAUUAGUUCAUACUCGA